rnacentral:rRNA from 1 species
CUACGUGCCAGCAGCCGCGGUAAUACGUAGGUCCCGAGCGUUGUCCGGAUUUAUUGGGCGUAAAGCGAGCGCAGGCGGUUAGAUAAGUCUGAAGUUAAAGGCUGUGGCUUAACCAUAGUACGCUUUGGAAACUGUUUAACUUGAGUGCAAGAGGGGAGAGUGGAAUUCCAUGUGUAGCGGUGAAAUGCGUAGAUAUUAGGAAGAACACCAGUGGCGAAGGCGACUUUCUGGACGAAAACUGACGCUGAGGCGCGAAAGCCAGGGGAGCGAACGGGAUUAGAUACCCCGGUAGUCCUGGCCGUAAACGAUGGGUACUAGGUGUAGGAGGUAUCGACCCCUUCUGUGCCGGAGUUAACGCAAUAAGUACCCCGCCUGGGGAGUACGACCGCAAGGUUGAAACUCAAAGGAAUUGACGGGGGCCCGCACAAGCGGUGGAGUAUGUGGUUUAAUUCGACGCAACGCGAAGAACCUUACCAGGUCUUGACAU